CUUGACUGUAGCUUGAAAUUGGGUUCGGGCUCUUCUUGCGCAGCCUAGGUGGGAGGCUAUGAAGAUUUCCUUCCGGGGAAGUUGGAGCCAUCAGUGAGAGACCACUCUGGAGAGGCUAGAAUCCUAAUGGUGAUCCUUGAAUCAGGACACUUGACAGUUUCAGGUGGGCAGUUUUUCUGGGGCGGAAGCCUCAUAAAGGGUAACUGAGGCGCGCAAAGGUCCCCUCAGUCUGGACGGAAAUCAGACAACGAGUGUAAAGGCAAAAGGGGGCUUGACUGCAAGACCUACAAGUCGAGCAGGAGCGAAAGCUGGCCUUAGUGAUCCGGCGGUACCGUGUGGAAGGGCCGUCGCUCAACGAAUAAAAGUUA
rnacentral:rRNA from 1 species